rnacentral:sRNA from 1 species
GUCAGGUAUGGAAGCACAUGCUACUGGAGAAACUGAGGCUGGUGUCUUGCUUCAGCCUGCAAGUUCUUAAUAGCUGUGCAGAUCAGGUGUCUGCACCAAGUUCAGCAACAAUAUGGUGAGCCCCCAGAAGGGGCCACCAGGCUGCCUAAGGAGGGGUGAACUGGUCCACGUCUGAAGCUGAGCAGGUCAAGCUCCAGUACCAAUAAGUAGUGGGAUGGGGCCUGUGAAAAGCCCCUGUACUUUCUGUGUAGACAAGACAGGGAAACCCGGGCUUU